rnacentral:lncRNA from 1 species
AGCUACAUCCGUCACCUGACACGGCCCUACCAGGAACAGCCGCGCUCCCGCGGAUUCUGGUGCUGCUCGCGUCCCCGCUCCCCUAUUCCCCUUAUUUUAUUCCUGGCUCCCCUCGUCGAAAGUCUUCCAUUCUUCAAACUAGAUUAUUUAAAAAUGAAAAAGGAAGAAAGGAAAGCGAGGUCAUCUCAUUGCUCUAUCCGCCAAUCAGGAGGCUGAAUGUCAGUUUUGAACUAAAAGCCGCUCCGCUCCUCUUCUAGAUUUGGAAAACAAGCGAAAUUAAACUAAACCGCUGCACGCCUCUGACGCGACAUCUGGACACGGCGCGGCGCUGGCGCUGCCGGAGCUGUCGACCCGGCCUGGCGCCGGACUAGGACUAUUUGCCACGACAUUUCAAAGGAUUCCAAGAGAGAAUAUUGGUGUCCAUGCUGUGAUGAUUCCUCAGCUCCUCUCAUCUGAUCUCCGUCCUGGCCCCCAUGACUUUCUUUGUGGUAGUUAGGGUGUGGUAUGUGCCACUGAGGCCCACACCUAUUGCUGCAAUUUAUAGCACUGAUCUGUCAUCAAUACCACUUGCUGUCUUGGAUGUGAAGAUGAUUUUUCCUGCAGGGAUUCCCUCUACAAAAUUAAAAACACUGGGCAUGUGGAAAUAAUAUUCAUGCUUUAAAUUGUCUUUUCUCUUCACUACACCAGGGGUCCCCAACCCCUAGGCCACAGACUGUGGCCCUAGUGUAGUGAAUAGAAAAGACAAUUUAAAGCGUGAAUAUUAUUUCCUCAUGCCCAGUGUUUUUAAUUUUGUACUGGUCUGUGGCUUGUUAGAAACCAGGCUGCACAGCAGAAGGUGGGCAGCAGAUAUUGAGAAACCACAGAAAGAGAGAAGUUAAAUAAUUUUCCUGUCAAAGACCACAUCAAUGAUGAAGCCAGAAUUUGAGCUCAUGUACUUAACCACUGGACUACCUGCCUGCCCUGUCGAGGAACAGCUAAGUGUCCCUUUUGAUGAGAAGAAUAAGCCUCAUUCUGAUUCAACAGCAGAGAUCAAAGAAAAGACUUCUGUUUUCUGGCCACCAGAUAUAUGUUAUCUGUGCUUAAAGAAUUGAAAAACACACAUCAAAGGAGAAUUUUCUUGGAAAGAGAGGGUUCAAGCAUCACUGUUAGGUGUGCUGGAAUCCUUUCCCGAGUCAGUACUGCUUUCUAGAAGAAAACCGGGGAGAUCUAUUUGGAAUGUAUCUAACUCCAAAGAAACCAUCAGAGGUAACAGUAGAGACGGGGUUUCACCAUGUUGGCCAGACUGGUCUUGAACUCUCGACCUCGUGAUUCGCCCGCCUCGGCCUCCCAAAGUGCUGGGAUUACAGGUGUGAGACACCACACCCGGCGGAUAGAGAGAAUUUUGACAGUCUCUCCAAUGAACGCCUUCACUGAUAUCCAAAGCAUGAAGGACACACCAGGGAAAAACAUAGACCUAACACAGGACAAAUGGAAUUAUUAGAAACAUUUUCUAGCAGAAGAACACUAUUCUGUUGCCAUUUGAAUCUUUGCUUCUUUCUAGGUUUGACAAUGAGCCUAUCAUAUAAGCCCAAAUGUAAACAGAAAGAGGUUGAAUCAGUCACGAUAAGCCCAAUUAUGCUGUGGUAACAAACAACCUCAAAAUCUCAUUGGCUUAAAAUAUACAGAAUUAUUCUUACUCAUGGCACAUAUCCAUCUAUCAUCUGCAGGGGAUCUGCUCACUGAAGUCACUUAGGAACUUGGACUGAUGGAACGGCCACUUUUUGGUCACUAUAUGUAUUAAUCUGUUUUAAUCCUGCUGAUAAAGACCCAAAAUUGGGAACAAAAAGAAGUUUAACUAGACUUACAGUUCCGCAUGGCUGAGGAGGCCUCAGAAUCAUGGUGGGAGGCGAAAGGCACUUCUUACAUGGUGGCAGCAAGAGAAAAAUGAGGAAGAAGCAAAAGCGGAAACCUCUGAUAAACCCAUCAGAUCUUAUGAGACUUAUUCCACUAUCAAGAGAAUAGCAUGGGAAAGACUGGCUCCCAUAAUUUACCUCCCUCUGGGUCCCUCCCUCAACAUGUGGGAAUUCUGGGAGAAACAAUUCAAGAUAUGACACAUUCAUAAUUUAAACAGAAGCCUACGAAGAACUCAUAAAUUAAAAGAAGAUAAUCUUUUCACAAGGUGAUGGAGGCUUUUUAUUUUGCCACAAAACCACUGGUGACGUUGCCUGUGGCCACCUUGGAGAAGACACUGGAGGCCUGGGACAUGGAGACUGCUUUUCUGCAGAAACCACAUCCCUUGGAGUAAUGAGCUACACCUACCUCAAUUAUUCAGUGCAGUACAACACUCCAGACAGGGUCUCACUCUGUCACCCAGGCUGGAGUGUAUUGGCAUGAUUACAGCUCACUGCAACCUUGAACUCCCAGGCUCAAACCUGAGCAGCUGGGACUACAGAUGCACCACCAUGCAUGGAUGAUUACGGAGCUAGGAAUUUCCUACGAAGCUGGGUGAUAAAAGGACAUUGGACAAAAACACAGAUAGCUUCAUUCUAUACCAGGAUCCAUCACUGAUUAGCUGUAUUAUAUUUGUCUCUACUGUAAUUUGAGGAGAAUGAUACCUGCUUCUCUAUCUUGUUGGGUUUUACAGAUGAUGUAUUGAAAGUUCAAUAAAAUCUAUAAACAAUAGAUCUCUGUGGCUUGAAUGGUCCUCAGAUAUCUUGACCAAUGAUUCUCAAAUGCUUACCAUAGACCAUAAUUUUUCCCCACAUGACACUGCUUCAUAUUUUUAAGUUUUUUUUCACCAAAUAUUUUGUUUUACUAUCUCCAAGCCCUGAAACUUUUUUUCUCCCUCAAACAUGACUUCAACUUUACUAUCCUGGUCCCUUUCUAUUGAAUGUGUUUUGUUUGUGUCUAUAUUUCUUAUAGUGUCUUGAACUGAUUGUACUUACGAUAUGACUUGACUAGCAUAAGAUAGAAUAGGGCAGUCAUCUUCUUUGAUCUAGACUAGAUGCUAUCCUUCUAUUAAUGCAGUUGCUAGUUUUGUAUUUGCUUGCUUUCAAUUUUUUUUUUUCAGAUUUUGGUAACCACUGUUACUUGACUCGUAUCAAACUUAUCAGUAGCUAAAACCCCCAUUUUCCCUCUUCCUGUGCUUAUUUGACUAGUUUUGUUGCGCUUUCUGAAAUGUUUCUCACUUGUUUUUGACCAAAAAAAUAAAAAUAACAAAUGCCA